AGAGUUUGAUCCUGGCUCAGAACGAACGCGGCGGCGUGGAUUAGGCAUGCAAGUCGCACGUGAAAGGGGAGCUUGCUCCCUGAGUAAAGUGGCGAACGGGUGAGUAACGCGUGAGAAACCUGCCUUGUAGAGGGGAAUAACACUCCCAACGGGGUGCUAAUACCGCAUGUGCCCGAUGGAUCGCAUGGUCCGUCGUGGAAAGAUGGCCUCUGCUUGCAAGCUAUCGCUACAAGAGGGUCUCGCGUCCGAUUAGAUAGUUGGUGGGGUAACGGCCUACCAAGUCUGCGAUCGGUAGCCGGACUGAGAGGUCGAACGGCCACAUUGGGACUGAGAUACGGCCCAGACUCCUACGGGGGGCAGCAGUGGGGAAUAUUGCACAAUGGGGGAAACCCUGAUGCAGCAACGCCGCGUGAAGGAUGAAGGUUUUCGGAUUGUAAACUUCUUUGACCGGGGACGAAACAAAUGACGGUACCCGGAAAACAAGCCACGGCUAACUACGUGCCAGCAGCCGCGGUAAUACGUAGGUGGCGAGCGUUGUCCGGAAUUACUGGGUGUAGAGGGCGUGUAGGCGGGUCUGCAAGUCAGAUGUGAAAUUCCGGGGCUUAACUCCGGCGCUGCAUUUGAAACUGCGGGUCUUGAGUGUUGGAUAGGGAAGUGGAAUUCCUAGUGUAGCGGUGAAAUGCGUAGAUAUUAGGAGGAACACCAGUGGCGAAGGCGACUUCCUGGACAACAACUGACGCUGAGGCGCGAGAGCGUGGGUAGCAAACAGGAUUAGAUACCCUGGUAGUC
rnacentral:rRNA from 1 species